rnacentral:rRNA from 1 species
UCUUUCGGGUCCCAGCGUGUACGCUCUGGGUGCGCCUCAUCUCGCGAUGAGAAUCAGACGCCCCGGGAGUGCGGGGUGCGNCCGGANCCNCNCCCUUCCUCCCUAGGCGCGCGCGAAGCGGCCUUCACUUUCAUUUUUCCUUUAGGUUUAUCGAUUCCCAAUGACUCGCGCACAUGCUAGACUCCUUGGUCCGUGUUUCAAGACGGGUCCUGAAAGUACCCAAAGCGAUAGCGUCGCUGACCGGCGUGAGCAGGGGUCUGCCCGAGAACGCCGCCGCCAGCAGCCGAGCGGGCCCGCCGCCGGCACGAGGUCCGGACGGCGGGUUGCCGACUCGAGCUUGCGACGGGUCGAGCGCGUGCGAGACGCGGCCCCUCGCCGUAUGUCAUUCCGUCGGGCGGGUCGGCUCGGAUGGCGCGGGUCCGCGCGGCCGAAGCCGCGCGGUCUCCGCCGCGCACCUUAAGCCGACGCCCUACGGGUCGCGACGUCCUACUGGGGGAGAAGUGCACGCGUUCCUGCCGGUCGGUCGGGGCCGUGCGGCCGCCCCCGAAGGAGCGGCCGUCGCGCGGCGACCCGAUUCCGCCGGCCGGAGCCGCGCUGAAUCUCCCCGUUCGAACUUUCGGGUUUCUCAGGUUUACCCCUGAACGGUUUCACGUACUGUUGAACUCUCUCUUCAAAGUUCUUUUCAACUUUCCCUCACGGUACUUGUUCGCUAUCGGUCUCGUGGUUGUAUUUAGCCUUAGAUGGAGUUUACCACCCACUUUGGGCUGCACUCUCAAGCAACCCGACUCUGAGGAGAGGUCCUCCCGCUGUCGACGGCGGUCGCUACGGGCCUGGCACCCUCUAUGGGCAGGUGGCCCCGUUCAAGAAGGACUUGGACGCGCCGUACGACCUCGGGAUGGCGGACCCUCCCUAACGCUACAUUUCCCGGCGGCCGUCAGGCCGCGGGAUUCAGCGCUGGGCUCUUCCCUCUUCGCUCGCCG